UGGUGUUUGGGCAGAGUGGAGAAGGAAAUCGGGAAUUGAUGCAAUCACUUACACGACCAUGAUAUUUGGAAAAAAGAAAAUAACUUGGGCAGAAAACAUGGAGCUCUGCUGCAGCAUUGGAAUGAAGCCCAUCAGAGUGACGGAUGAGCUUCUUUUAACGCUAAACUCGAUUGGAGUAUCAUAUAAAAGUUUCAAAAUCUUCGACAAAACUGAGAACUCUACCGAGGACCGCAUGUUGAUUAAAACGAGUUUCUGGACGGCUGCGACGCGGCAGGGGUGCGCCGGGCAUUACCGCUUCUGCAUGCACGACGACGUCGGCCCGUGGGACUCGCAGGACAGCUUCUGGGACACGGUGAACCCGCGGGACAGUGGC